rnacentral:rRNA from 1 species
GACGUAGGUGGCGAACGUUUAUCCGGAAUUAUUGGGCGUAAAGGGUGCGUAGAUGGCCUGAUAAGUUAGCAGUGGGAAAUCGAGGCUCAACCUCGUGGAAGCUGGUAAUACUGUCAAGCUCGAGUGCAGGAGAGGUUAACGGAACUCCAUGUGGAGCGGUAAAAUGUGUAGAUAUAUGGAAGAACACCAAUAACGGCGAAGGCAGUUAACUAUUCUGUUACUGACAUUUGAGGCACGAAAAGCGUGGGGGAGCAAAACGGG